rnacentral:tRNA from 1 species
GGUUCGGUGGUGUAGUGGUUAUCACGUCUGUCUCACACACAGGAGGUCUCCGGUUCGAAACCGGGUCGAAUCA